AUUGAACGCUGGCGGCAGGCCUAACACAUGCAAGUCGAGCGAGCGGCGGACGGGUGAGUAAUGUAUGGGGACUGCCCGAUAGAGGGGGAUAACUACUGGAAACGGUGGCUAAUACCGCAUACUAUCGGAUAACCCAUAUGGGAUUAGCUAGUAGGUGGGGUAAGGGCUCACCUAGGCGACGAUCUCUAGCUGGUCUGAGAGGAUGAUAAGCCACACUGGGACUGAGACACGGGCCAAAGUCCGACGGAGGGAGCAGUAGGUAAUCUUCGGCAAUGGACGAAAGCCUGAUGCAGCGACGCCGCGUGGGGGAUGAAGGCUUGCGGGUUGUAAACCUCUUUCGCUAUCGAACGGGUAGGUGGAGAAGAAGCGCCGGCUAACUACGUGCCAGCAGCCGCGGUAAUAC
rnacentral:rRNA from 1 species